rnacentral:lncRNA from 1 species
CAGAAGAAGCAGGCUGAGGCACUGAGUGAAAACCUAUGUGGAUGUCCUGCUGCCUUUUCCUUGUGGAGGGUAGAUCAUUCCCAACUCUGCCUGAAACUUUGAUGCCUUAUUGGAGGAAGAGAAAGGUAACUCCCUUGUUGAGCCAUAGAGCUCUUAGUUUUUCUUUCUUAAAAAAAAAAUCACUCUUCUUUCAAACACCAUUAAAUUAGUCCAGUUAUGUACACUGGGCUUGUAUUGCAUGGUUUAUAUAAAAGCUAAGUUCUUUCUUUAAGAUUGGAGCCCUCCGUGUGAGUGAUUUCAGGAUAAAAGGCCUUAGAGGAUUAGACACAUUAUUCGUUUGUAAAACUGAUUGCUCAAGUGAUACAGCCCUAGGGCUGCCCCCUUAUUGUAGCUUCUUGAACACUGUCAAACUGUCAGACUUGGGUUGGUGGUUAUUUUAUCUCGCAAACAACCAAAACCAGAUUUACAUUGUAAGUAGAUACUAGCGUGGCUUUUGUCCUUCCUAUAUCUAGGCCCUGAAUACUUCAGAGCCAGAUUAAAUGCUUUGCUCUAUUUUUUCAUAGAUUUGGGCUUCGACCAAACAUACAAGUUGAGCCUGUUGACUUCUCUCUUUGUGGAUGCACACGUGCGUCUCUGCGUAUAUUUGUGCAUGCUUUCCCGAAUAAGUCCUCUUUUAAAACUCAGCCUUUCAUCAUUUUAGAAAUGAUUUGCUCUUUUACAGCUUGUACUUUUUAUGGUUCUUAGAGGAUCACUGCAGCAAAUAUAUUUGGCAGAAAUUGAGCACACAAGCCCUUCCCCAGAACUCAGUACUGAAUUUGUUCAGUUCCCAUCUUAAAAACUUGAAACUCCUUUGACUUUUCCUGUGAUGUGCUUAUUUCUGAUCUGAAACUGUAGUUCAAAGCUAGACUUGGUAAUCAUUCACGUCAAGAAAGGAAUGGAUUGCUCAAAAAAGAAGUCAGACUCUAAAAAUAGCCUCCAUACCGAGGCCCACUUUUCUACCUAGGGAAUCAAGACAGAAAUAUUUCCAGGAUUGAAAUGACAUAGUUCAAGUGACGCAACCAUUUGGCUGCCUGCUAUUUUUCUCUUUUCUGCCAGAAGGAAAAUAUAUAAUGUAGAAAAAUUCCCCUAGAGUUGUUAAAAUAAUCACUGAAAUAACCUUUGGUGCUUAGUAUGGUACCCUGGAAAACUUGGAUCUCUAGAAUGGUUCAUUUCAGAGCUUUUCCAGAUAGCCAAGUUUUUAUUAGAAAAUUGGUUGGUAUAGACGGUGCUCACUGUGACUGUUCAGUGCAUGAUGAGAAUCCUUCUUUACAGAGAUAAAAAGUGUGAAGAGAAUUGCUGAGAAGUAACCAUUCAUUCCCUUCUGCAUUUGCCUAGUGUGCUGUGUAAUUAAAUGAGCUGAUAAAAUUUACAAGAAAUAAAGCUUUAUGCAAUUACAAAUAGAUGACAUGACUUUUUAAAAGGUUUUGCCCAUAUUUUUCACACACGCUCUACCUUUAGCCUUCUCUGCUUUCACACAGAUGCUGAAAAACAAAAGAGUUAAUUAGAAACCAUUCCUUUUCUCUCUUUCUGGUACAGAGAAGGCUUCCACUAAGUAUGUGCUGAAUAAAUGACCCAGUCUGAAAGUUUUAAUUUAUUACACAGUAUAUUCAUAGAACUGUAACUGUUACAACCUCUAGUUUGAUAGAUGUAGCUGUUUUUGUUUUUUUAAGUUGAGAUUAUAUUAAUAUCUGUCACUUGGGUUGCCAGCCUUUUAGAAGAAAAUUUGGGGUUUAUAUUAGAAUAGGUUUUAGGUUCAGUAGCCUGUAUCCUUUUUUACUGCCCUGGGACAACAGCAAAUAUUCACCUAAAUUCAUUCUGUGGUGUAACACUUUAGAAGUAUACCAGUUCUUCCUUGCAAAUAACAACAAAAAGCUCUGAACAACUUAAUCACAGAGAAAAAAAAAGCUUUUAUUGGAGGUAUAUUGGGCAGCUCAUUGGCUGAUAAGGUAGCAGAAGCAAAAGGAUACUUGGCAGCCCGGAGCUUAGCUGAGAUGGAGCCAUAAGGACAGUUUUAUUAGGAUGCCACCACAGCUCGGCUGCCAGUGGACACAUGAAUUCGUGAGACUAGCACCUCUGCCAUAAAUAACAUCUCACCAUCCCUGGGGAAUUGGUCACUCCCUUAAGACUCAAACACUGUGGCAAGUGCAUCUAAUUGGCUGAGUCCAGGUUAUGUUCCAGGGAACAGGGGAGAAAGCUCUGCCAAUCUUGGGAUUCCCCCACAUGCGGAUGUUCACUAAUGUGGAAAGACAGAGGGAUUGGGGAAUCACUGGGAAAUGCUUGGAGUCAGUCUGUUAUGUAGAUGUGCAAGGGAAGUCAUCAGUGACCCAAGAUAUCUGCUGAAAUGUGAGGUCUUCAUAGUAAACCUCACCCCUUCACUUGUAUACCCUUUCCAUGACAUUUUUUCCUCUAUAACAUUUAUCACCAUUUG